rnacentral:rRNA from 1 species
GCUGGUGGUGAUGCGCUUAGGGGGCACACCCGUUCCCAUCCCGAACACGAUGGUUAAGACCUAAGCGGCUGAUGGUACUGCACUGGAGACGGUGUGGGAGAGUAAGUGGCUGCCAGCU